CUACGGGUCGCACCAGUCGAGAAUCUUCCGCAAUGGACGAAAGUCUGACGGAGCGACGCCGCGUGCGGGAUGAAGGCCUUCGGGUUGUAAACCGCUGUCAGUGGGGAGGAAAUGCAUCAGGGUUCUCCCUGGUGUUUGACCGAUCCGCAGAGGAAGCGCAGGCUAAGUUCGUGCCAGCAGCCGCGGUAACACGAACUGCGCGAACGUUAUUCGGAAUCACUGGGCUUAAAGAGUUCGUAGGCGGCCUUUCAAGUCGGGUGUGAAAUCCCUCGGCUCAACCGAGGAAUUGCGCCUGAGACUGUUGGGCUUGAGGGGGAUAGGGGUGAGCGGAACUGAUGGUGGAGCGGUGAAAUGCGUUGAUAUCAUCAGGAACACCGGUGGCGAAGGCGGCUCACUGGAUCUCUUCUGACGCUGAGGAACGAAAGCUAGGGGAGCGAACGGGAUUAGAUACCCCCGUAGUC
rnacentral:rRNA from 1 species